rnacentral:misc_RNA from 1 species
UCUCCGUUGGUGAACCAGCGGAGGGAUCAUUGCUGGAAGCGUCUCACGGCGCACCCAGAUACCCUUUGUGAACCAUACCUCUCUGUUGCCUCGGCGGGGCCUACCCGGUACCGACCCCUUUUGGGCGAAGUUACCCUGUAGCCCGCCGGUGGAUUUUCAAACUCUUGUUAUUUUAAUGUUAUCUGAGCGUCUUAUUUUAAUAAGUCAAAACUUUCAACAACGGAUCUCUUGGUUCUGGCAUCGAUGAAGAACGCAGC